CCUUGACAUCCAGAGAACUUAGCAGAGAUGCUUUGGUGCCUUCGGGAACUCUGGGACAGGUGCUGCAUGGCUGUCGUCAGCUCGUGUUGUGAAAUGUUGGGUUAAGUCCCGCAACGAGCGCAACCCUUAUCCUUUGUUGCCAGCGGUUCGGCCGGGAACUCAAAGGAGACUGCCGGUGAUAAACCGGAGGAAGGUGGGGAUGACGUCAAGUCAUCAUGGCCCUUACGGCCAGGGCUACACACGUGCUACAAUGGCGCAUACAAAGAGAAGCGACCUCGCGAGAGCAAGCGGACCUCAUAAAGUGCGUCGUAGUCCGGAUUGGAGUCUGCAACUCGACUCCAUGAAGUCGGAAUCGCUAGUAAUCGUAGAUCAGAAUGCUACGGUGAAUACGUUCCCGGGCCUUGUACACACCGCCCGUCACACCAUGGGAGUGGGUUGCAAAAGAAGUAGGUAGCUUAACCUUCGGGAGGGCGCUUACCACUUUGUGAUUCAUGACUGGGGUGAAGUCGUAACAAGGUAGGCGUAGCGAG
rnacentral:rRNA from 1 species